AUUGAACGCUGGCGGCAUGCCUUACACAUGCAAGUCGAACGGUAACAGGUCUUCGGAUGCUGACGAGUGGCGAACGGGUGAGUAAUACAUCGGAACGUGCCUAGUAGUGGGGGAUAACUACUCGAAAGAGUGGCUAAUACCGCAUGAGAUCUACGGAGGAAAGCAGGGGAUCGCAAGACCUUGUGCUACUAGAGCGGCCGAUGGCAGAUUAGGUAGUUGGUGGGAUAAAAGCUUACCAAGCCGACGAUCUGUAGCUGGUCUGAGAGGACGAUCAGCCACACUGGGACUGAGACACGGCCCAGACUCCUACGGGAGGCAGCAGUGGGGAAUCUUGGACAAUGGGCGCAAGCCUGAUCCAGCAAUGCCGCGUGCAGGAUGAAGGCCUUCGGGUUGUAAACUGCUUUUGUACGGAACGAAAAGCCCCGGGUUAAUACCCUGGGGUCAUGACGGUACCGUAAGAAUAAGCACCGGCUAACUACGUGCCAGCCGCCGCCGUAA
rnacentral:rRNA from 1 species